GUCGGACGGUAGCACAGAGAGCUUGCUCUCGGGUGACGAGUGGCGGACGGGUGAGUAAUGUCUGGGGAUCUGCCCGAUAGAGGGGGAUAACCACUGGAAACGGUGGCUAAUACCGCAUAACGUCGCAAGACCAAAGAGGGGGACCUUCGGGCCUCUCACUAUCGGAUGAACCCAGAUGGGAUUAGCUAGUAGGCGGGGUAAUGGCCCACCUAGGCGACGAUCCCUAGCUGGUCUGAGAGGAUGACCAGCCACACUGGAACUGAGACACGGUCCASACUCCUACGGGAGGCAGCAGUGGGGAAUAUUGCACAAUGGGCGCAAGCCUGAUGCAGCCAUGCCGCGUGUAUGAAGAAGGCCUUCGGGUUGUAAAGUACUUUCAGCGGGGAGGAAGGCGAUGCGGUUAAUAACCSCGUCGAUUGACGUUACCCGCAGAARAARCACCGGCUAACUCCGUGCCAGCAGCCGCGGUAAUACGGAGGGUGCAAGCGUUAAUCGGAAUUACUGGGCGUAAAGCGCACGCAGGCGGUCUGUUAAGUCAGAUGUGAAAUCCCCGGGCUUAACCUGGGAACUGCAUUUGAAACUGGCAGGCUUGAGUCUUGUAGAGGGGGGUAGAAUUCCAGGUGUAGCGGUGAAAUGCGUAGAGAUCUGGAGGAAUACCGGUGGCGAARGCGGCCCCCUGKACAAAGACUGACGCUCASGUGCGAAAGCGUGKGGAGCAAACAGGAUUAGAUACCCUGGKAGUCCACGCCGUAAACGAUGUCGACUUGGAGGUUGUUCCCUUGAGGAGUGGCUUCCGGAGCUAACGCGUUAAGUCGACCGCCUGGGGAGUACGGCCGCAAGGUUAAAACUCAAAUGAAUGACAGGGGGCCCGCACAAGCGGUGGAGCAUGUGGUUUUAUUUCUAUGCAACGCGAAGAACCUUCAUC
rnacentral:rRNA from 1 species